AUGCUGCACAGACACAUCCUGGACUCACCGCUGGAAUUGUGUUCCUGUGACCUCACUGGGGUGAAUAACACCUCCCUCCUACAGUCUCUCUUCUUAUCAGGUGGACGCCUGCAGGGAAUUCUGGGAGGGCUCCUGUUUGUCACCUGGGAGGAUGACCUCUCCCCCCUCCCUGGGAAUGGGGUCUGUCCUGUCCUCACUGGGUCUUGGGCAGAGGUUGUGUUGACUCAGCCCCACUCUGUGUUGGGGUCUCUGGAGCAGAAGGUCACUAUCUCCUGCACCCGCAGCAGCGGUAACGUUGGGAGUUACUAUGUGCACUGGUACCAGCAGCGUCCUGGCAGUGCCCCCACCACCGUAAUCUACAAGGAUGACCAAAGACCCUCCGGGGUUCCCAAUCGUUUCUCUGGCUCCAUUGACACCUCCUCCAGUGCUGCCGACCUGACCAUCUCUGGGCUGCAGCCUGAGGACGAGGCCAACUACUACUGCUCAAGCUGGAAUUUUCAUGAGUUCCUUUCUUUUCUUUCCAAAAUAUAA